GCCCGAAGACAGGUGCUGCAUGGCUGUCGUCAGCUCGUGUCGUGAGAUGUUGGUUAAGUCCCGCAACGAGCGCAACCCUUAUCCCUAGUUGCCAUCAGGUAAAGCUGGGAACUCUGGGGAGACUGCCGGUGAUAAACCGGAGGAAGGCGGGGAUGACGUCAAGUCCUCAUGGCCCUUACAUCCCGGGCUACACACGUGCUACAAUGGCAGGUACAGAGGGCUGCGAAGCCGCGAGGUGGAGCGAAUCCCAGAAAACCUGUCUCAGUCCGGAUUGAAGUCUGCAACUCGACUUCAUGAAGGCGGAAUCGCUAGUAACCGCGAAUCAGCAGGUCGCGGUGAAUACGUUCCCGGGCCUU
rnacentral:rRNA from 1 species